rnacentral:rRNA from 1 species
AUUGAACGCUGGCGGCAUGCUUUACACAUGCAAGUCGAACGGCAGCACGGGGGCAACCCUGGUGGCGAGUGGCGAACGGGUGAGUAACACAUCGGAACGUGUCCAGUUGUGGGGGAUAACCCAUCGAAAGGUGGGCUAAUACCGCAUGAGCUGGCAACAGGAAAGCGGGGGACCCGCAAGGGCCUUGUGCGAUUGGAGCGGCCGAUGUCCGAUUAGCUAGUUGGUGGGGAAAGGCCUACCAAGGCUUCGAUCGGUAGCUGGUCUGAGAGGAUGAUCAGCCACACUGGGACUGAGACACGGCCCAGACUCCUACGGGAGGCAGCAGUGGGGAAUUUGGACAAUGGGGGCAACCCUGAUCCAGCCAUGCCGCGUGAGUGAAGAAGGCCUGG